AAAACUGUUCAUCACUUGGAUGGGGAUCACAUAACUGUGGGCACCAAGAAGAUGCUGGAGUCAUCUGCCAAGGCCAGGCACAAACGAGUGCAGCACCAUGGACAGCAACAUCAGCGACAUUAAACACCACUGUGUCGCAGCCAGAAGUCAGAGCUGUCAGGCUGGUAAAUGGACCCAACCUCUGUUCUGGAAGAGUGGAGGUUCUUCACAAUGGAAUCUGGGGAACAGUGUGUGAUGACAUGUGGGAUUCAACAGACGCGGCAGUGGUGUGUAGAGAAUUGGGCUGUGGGAGUGUCAUAGAG